ACCUUGAGAGACUCAAAGUUCAGAGUGAAGCUGCUGCUGCUUCUUCUUCUCCAACGCUUGAGAGUGGAGACCAAAGACGGAGUCACCGUCACGGAGAGGGGCAGAGAGUAGAUCAGUAGAGCUUCUUCUUCUCCGACAAUUGAGAAAUCCGCCAUCUUCUGUCGGAGAGCAGAGCUUCUUUUUCUUCUUCUUCUUCUCCUCCUCCGCCGAGCCCGCCGUCGCGCCAUCCUGUUCAUGGAGUGAAAUGCGGUAUCUAUGGUGCCAAUUGCCCUGGGUGGAUAAUAAGCAUGGAGCCUGUAAUGCUCAUGGACUUUAUUGUGUUCUUUUGUAUGAUACAUUAGGUGCUGGAGCAGUGGAGUUUAUUAUAUGCCAUGCAGAGAUCUCAAUUGCUUUUGGAAGUUAUUUAAGCAGCAAUCUCUUUGGCCAAAUAGGAAGGUCUUCUUGUUUCUUUGGAUUUGGCCAGUUUUGAGAUGGUGAGGAAAUUUAAGCCACCACUUAUGAAGUUAUUGGAGUCUCGCAAUAUAGACCUCUGUUUUGCCAAUCAAGAUGAAGCAACGGAACUUCAAUUGUAAUUUUUUCUGUUGGCUUCUUUCCCAAUCUCGUUUUCUUUGCUUUGGUUGGAAAAUGUUUAGUUGACUCUGCUGUGAACUGUUUGCUGUUGUGCAUUGAUCACUUGGAGAACAUGACUAACUAUACAAUCAUGGUAGUUUGGUUCACACUGAAGGAAUUUGUUCUCAAGCCAUUGCCUCCCAAUAUAGUGCAUAUCAGGAUUUGAUUCAUGAAGCUUUCUAAGAAAGCUAGUGUUCUCAUUGCUCUUGCAAUGGCUGCUGGCACUGGAAGGGUACGAUGUUUGCUAUAUUCAGAGUGCUAUGUUUUGCUCAUAUUAUUGUAGAUUCUAGAUUGGCAUGUUGACAUGUUGAUGACCUUUCUCCUUACUUACAUGUUGUGGCUGGAGAGCUUGAACUGAAUCAUGAAUGCAGUUUGAUGUAAUAGUCGCCAGAGGAUUUCGAAUCUAAAUUGCAGGGGAUCUUGAUUAAUGGGCAAUUCCUAGGGCCCACUAUAGAUGCGGUUACAAAUGAUUUAAAAACACCAGGGGAUGAAUUGGAAGUGAAUCUCAAGAGUUGGGCUGUUAGCUCAAUAUCUAGCUUUCAGAAUAUUUACUUUUUGGGCCAGUAUUUAGUUAUUACAUAUUUGGUUUUAAAUUUUUAGUUUCAUGCUACAUUUUGUUACUUAUGACAAUGUGACUUUAGUUUUUCAAAGGUUGUAAAAUUUUAUGAUUUUAGCUUUUGUACUGCAGUCUGCACUAUUAUAAUUGUUUUGUGCAAAAUGCAUAAACAUCUAAAACUAAUAUUAUGUUUAAGUUUACUAUAGGUGAAAAGACUAACAAGAGGAAUAGCUGAUGAAACUAUAGGUGACUUCUUAUCAGAACUUGGAAUCAUGACUCAUGUAAGCCACACCAACAUUGCUAAAUUGGUUGGUUAUGGUGUGGAAGGUGAAAUGCAUCUGGUUCUUGAAUUGUCUGAAAAAGGAAGCCUAACUUCAGUUCUUUAUGGUAAUGCAGGAUUAAUUGUUUAACUUUUUCAAAAUUUUCAUGUGUUUCUAAUUUCUUGUGAUUGUUAUUAGGGUCCAAGGAGAAGCUUUCGUGGUCUAUUAGGCAGAGAAUUGUAUUAGGAACAGCAGAGAGAAUAUUAUAUCUUCAUGAAGGUUGUCAAAGAAGAAUUAUCCAUAGAAAUAUAAAAGCUGCAAAUAUCUUACUCACUGAUGACUUUAAGCCUCAAAUUUUUUAUUUUUUGCUAGCAAAAUGGCUACCAGAGAAUUGGAAUCACCACAGUGUUACAAGAUUUGAAGGGACAUUUGGGUUUAUAACAUUAAGAAAUAAAUAAAUUAAUCCUCUAUAAUCUAUAUUUAAUCAAUUUUUGUAACCUCAUAAUAACUUAGGUAUGGGUGACACAGAUACCUUGCUCUAGAAUACUUACUCCAUGGCAUAGUAG